ACCCUGUCUGGACUGUCGCGCACGUGUCAACCUCAAGCCAGCUGAAAUCAUUGGACCUCUCCGAUAACAUCCUGUGGCUCUUCAUGGGCAACGGCACUGCCGAAGGCUGGGACAUAGACCAGGGAAGCAAGUG
rnacentral:SRP_RNA from 1 species